rnacentral:rRNA from 1 species
AUUGAACGCUGGCGGCAGGCUUAACACAUGCAAGUCGCGCGAGCGGCGGACGGGUGAGUAAUGUCUGGGAAACUGCCUGAUGGAGGGGGAUAACUACUGGAAACGUUAGCUAAUACCGCAUACCAUCAGAUGUGCCCAGAUGGGAUUAGCUAGUAGUGGGGUUAAUGGCUCACCUAGGCGACGAUCCCUAGCUGGUCUGAGAGGAUGACCAGCCACACUGGAACUGAGAACCGUUCCAGAAUCCUACGGGGGGCAGCAGUGGGGAAUAGUGGACAAUGGGCGGAAGCCUGAUGCAGCCAGGCCGCGAGUGUGAAGAAGGCCUUCGGGUUGUAAAGCACUUUCAUCGAGGAGGCUUUUCUCGCAGAAGAAGCACCGGCUAACUCCGUGCCAACAGCCGCGGUAAUUC